rnacentral:rRNA from 1 species
AAGCGUGGGGAGCAAACAGGAUUAGAUACCCUGGUAGUCCACGCCUUAAACGAUGAAUGCUAGUCGUCGGAGAGCUCGUCUCUUCGGUGAUGCAGUUAACACAUUAAGCAUUCCGCCUGGGGAGUACGGUCGCAAGAUUAAAACUCAAAGGAAUAGACGGGGACCCGCACAAGUGGUGGAGCAUGUGGUUUAAUUCGAAGAUACGCGAAGAACCUUACCUGGCCUUGACAUUGAUAGAAUUCGGUAGAGAUACUGAAGUGCCUUUCGGGGAACUUGAAAACAGGUGCUGCACGGCUGUCGUCAGCUCGUGUCGUGAGAUGUUGGGUUAAGUCCCGCAACGAGCACAACCCUCGUCCUUAGUUGCUAACAGUUCGGCUGAGCACUCUAAGGAGACUGCCUUCGUAAGGAGGAGGAAGGUGAGGACGACGUCAAGUCAUCAUGGCCCUUACGGCCAGGGCUACACACGUGCUACAAUGGGGCGUACAGAGAGUUGCGAUACCGCGAGGUGGAGCUAAUCUCAUAAAGCGUCUCUCAGUUCGGAUAGGAGUCUGCAACUCGACUCCUUGAAGCUGGAAUCACUAGUAAUCGUAGAUCAGCAAUGCUACGGUGAAUACGUUCCCGGGUCUUGUACUCACCGCCCGUCACACCAUGGGAGUUGAUUUCGCCCGAAGCGGGGAUGCUAAACUGGCUACCCUCUACGGCGGAAUUAGCGACUGGGGUGAAGUCGUAACAAGGUA